rnacentral:misc_RNA from 1 species
GAUGAAGAACGUAGCGAAAUGCGAUAAGUAAUGUGAAUUGCAGAAUUCAGUGAAUCAUCGAAUCUUUGAACGCACCUUGCGCCCUUUGGCCAUUCCGAAGGGCAUGCCUGUUUGAGUAUCAUGAACACCUCAACUCUCAUGGCUCGCCAUGAUGAGCUUGGAUUUGGGGGUCUUGCUGGCCUGUGGUCGGCUCCUCUCAAAUGAAUCAGCUUGCCGGUGUUUGGUGGCGUCACAGGUGUGAUAACUAUCUACGCUUGUGGUGUUUUCCACCAGGUAACCUUCAGCAAUGGAGGUUCGCUGGGGCUCAUAAAAGUCUCUCCUCGGUGAGGACAGCUCUUUUUGAACGUUUGAUCUCAAAUCAGGUAGGACUACCCGCUGAACUUAAGCAUAUCAAUAAGCGGAGGA